rnacentral:lncRNA from 1 species
ACUUUCUGGAAAGAACAGGUUACAAGUCUACUAGAUCAUCUAUUGAAGAAACAAACUGCAAUGCUCCAUACGUUGUUUAUCAAAGAUUAUGGUCAACCCCUUGAUAUAUCAAAGUACACUUCACUGCGAGCAUUACACCUUCCAGCAAAUGAAGAGCUAAGGUAUCCUAAUCUGUCGCCACAUGAACAGCUUACAAGACACAUACAACACCUAAGGUAUCUUAAUCUGUCAUCACAUUGGUUCGAGAAACUUCCUGAAGGUAUAAGCAUUAUGUAUCAUCUACAAACGUUGGACCUCUCUCAUUGCAAAUACCUUCGUCACCUUCCAAAGGAUAUGAAGUAUAUGGCAAACCUCCGACACCUCUAUACCCAUGGAUGCAUAUCAUUGACAUGCAUGCCUCCAGGACUUGGACAGAUCACUUCUCUGCAGACUCUAACAUAUUUUGUUAUUGGUGAUGGCUUGGGAUGUAGUACUAUUGGGGAACUUCAAAACUUAAACCUUGGUGGAGAGUUAGAGUUAAGUGGUCUGCAAAAUGUAACAGAAGUGCUUGCAAAAGCAGCCAGUCUUGAAAAUAAAGAGAGACUCACACACUUAUCUCUCGCGUGGAAUGAUGAUGCCCGUGAGAAACCAGAUUCUCAUAAUGAGGUGUUAGAUGCCCUUAAACCUCAUCACCGGCUAGAGAUGCUAAGAAUAAAGUCCUACAAAGGCACCAAAUUACCGUCAUGGAUAACAGAUCUUAGUCUGUUGCAGCACUUGACUGAGCUCCAACUGGUUGGUUGUAGGCUGUGCGAGGAAUUUCCUCAAUUCUGCCAUUUCAAAGCCCUUGAAGUUCUGUAUUUGAAAAAGUUGGACAAAUUGCAAAGCCUAUGCAGUCAUAUGGUGUCUACGCCAUUUCCAGCACUGAAGCAACUCCAGUUACAUGAUUUGGAGAGCUUGGAGAGAUGGGUCGCAACAGAAGGAAAAGAAGAUGAAUUAUCCUUUCCUGUACUUGAGGAGGUUGAAAUAGAGAACUGUCCAAAGUUGACUAGCCUACCUGAAGCACCAAAGCUCAAGGUUGUAAAGCUGGAUGAAGGCAAGCCGCUGCUCUCCUUAGGAAUAGUUAAAUCAAGGCACAUGUCUUCAAUUUCUAAGCUACUACUGCGUGUCCGUGACACAGAAGCACUGCCUCAGAUAGAUUAUAAUUGGGAUUCAUCACAGAAACUGGAACUAUCUUUGGGUGGCACAGAAGCCGCACCUCUGUCACAACUGAGCAUAUUUGGCUGCAACUUUUUAUUCGUAUCAAGCCACUCACAGCUAACACCUGGGGUCUGGAAAUGGUUUGAACAUCUUGCAGUUUUAACAAUUGCAAAAUGUGAUGUGCUCAUCUACUGGCCAGAAGAAGUGUUCCAAAGCUUGGUAUCUUUGAAGUACUUGUUCAUUUUCUCCUGCAACAAGCUAAUAGGGCCCACACAAGCGAAAGGUGACAAACCUACACAAACAACAGAUCAAGUCCUGCCACAUCUAAACAUGAUACGUAUACACAAUUGUGAAAGCAUGGCACAGCUCUUCAUUCUUCCCCCAUCUAUCAGAAUUAUUCAUAUUUUUGAGUGCCCUAAGCUUGAGUUCAUAUGGGGAAAAGAGGAGCAUCUUGACACAUAUGCAUCGCUGGAACAUUGCCGCGACCCUGCAUCCACCACUGGUAACCUAGAGCAAUCGCCGUCUCCAAUUAUUCGCCGUCCAUGCCUUGUAGAUCUAACUAUAAGAGGAUGUGAUAGCCUGGUAACACUUCCAAAUCUACCACCGUCCCUCAAGGAAUUAUUCAUCCGGAAGUGUGAGAAGCUCUGCUCUGUGUCAGGAGACCUGUGUGCACUCGAGACCCUACAGAUUGUUAACUGCAAUAAGUUACAGUCAGUCAAUUCCUUGGGAGACCACCCAUCAUUAGAAACACUGUUUCUUUCUGGCUGCCGAUGCCUUGCAUCUUUAGGAUGUGAUGGUGGUCGUGGGAGUUACUCUGCUCUUCAGUGCCGUGAGAUCGAAGACUGCCCAGCCAUAGAUAUGAAGCAGUUUUACUAACGCCAUCAAACAGCUGCUUGACAGCUUUGAAUAUGAAGACGUAUCACACGUUCAUUCAAGCAGCUCUGAUGAAGGUACGACCUUUCACUUUCCUCUUAUUCAAUUUGUUUCCUUCAAAUUUCCCUUCUUUGCAUGCCCUCCUAUUUUGUUGACGAUCUGGUUUAUAGAUGGGCUUGCGGGGUGGGAUUUUGGGGUUUCAUCUUCGUUCCGGCUUUUAGACGGUCCUUUCUCACUGACGUGACCCCACAUAUAUUUUAGUUUAUACGGCUAUUGGUUUUCAGUCUUCGAUGCAGUUGAAGUGCAUAGGGAAAUUCUGGAAACAUGUUCUAUCCCUUGGUGUUGAGAUCAGCUGAUGCGGAAUCACUGAAGUACUACUGAAACGAGAUCCUGAUCGGUCUCAGUUGUGGAGAGCAAUUUGUGAUGAAUGGAAGCAGUCCCAAGGCUUCAAGAACUCAUGGAGUCGUGCUGUACCAUUCUCCACUGCCAGGGCCUAAACUAGGUACAUGGAAGGCGCACAGGUUGGGAUAGUAAAAAACCAUACCUUUGUCUGUGUUAGAGCAACUCCAAGAGGCUGCUAAUCUUACCCCAAUACCUUUUUUAGGAAAAAAAAAGAGAAAAAAUGAACUCCAACAAUCCACCUAAACCUUCCCCAAUUUUUUAGCGACGCUAAAAAACAGCCUGCCAUCGCGUAUAUUUUAGCGUUGGCGUUCCUUCCCCAAUCCUGAUUCCCGCACACCCGCGCGUCCCUUCCGAUGGGCCCAAUACGAUGACGUGGCCUGUGUUUGAAAUAUUGGGGGCUAUUUAUUAGCGAUCUGUUGUGGACUGAUAUGCUUUUGGGGGAAAUUUUUUUUGGGAGAACCCCCAAUACAUAGUUUUGGGGAAGAAUUUUUUAGGAUACUCUUGGAGUUGCUCUUAGAGCAUCUUCAAGAGUCUGCCAAAAAACUCUUCCCCAAAACCACAUCAUCCCACAAUAGAUCCCUAAUAAUAAAUUUUCCAAUAUUUUAAAAUUUGCCACAUCAGCAUGCGUGGACCCUAAGCUGGGCUGCCCCCUUCCCCCGCUGGAGCGUUUUCGCGCUUUCGCACUGUGGCUGCCUGAGCAGGGGUUGGUCUGUGCUGAUUUGCUGAACCAUGCAUAUUAUAUGCACUGGGACUGUCAUGCCCUCAGAAAAGCAUCAUCAUCUACUGGUAUGACGUCAAUUCAGCCUCAAACUCUCAACACUGAAGGCCUUCGAGGACUAGGACUACGCCAGCGCCACCCAUUGAAUCCCAUCCCCAUCUCGGCCACGUGCCAUGCCAUGCCCAGCCGUGGGGCACUGGGCAGCCCACGUGCAGCCACUUGUGGCCACGGACGCCCAGCCAGACCAUCACCCCCAAGAGGAGGAACGCCUUAUCUUUUCACCAUGAGAAAGCAGAGUCUAACGGUCCGUGGGCAAUAGGAAAAUCAGCACCGGCGGACUCCUGUGUUCACCUUCAUAUUUUUCGUGGUCUAUAUUAUGCGAGUUAUAGCAGUCCUAGGGAAUUUGUUUGGUGUCUCGGAGUUGUCAUAUUCCUAUUAAUGAUUGUGACAGCUUUUAUAGGAUACGUACCACCUUGGGGUCAGAUGAGCUUUCGGGGAGCAACAGUAAUUACAAGCUUAGCUAGCGCCAUACCAGUAGUAGGAGAUACCAUAGUGACUUGGCUUUGGGGUGGUUUCUCCGUGGACAAGGCUCUUGGAGUUGCUCUUAAUCAAUUCUCAUUUAGCACUCUGUUGUUAACAUGUUACCCCCAUGCUUUUCAUUUUUUCUGUGCAGACAUGACCCAUUUAUCCUUAAAAGGCAUAAAGGAGGGCACUCACAUGUACGCACGACUGGCAACUGGAAGCUUCGUUGCAAGCCUCUGCUAACGACCAAGUUUGUUUUCACGCCACUAUACCAGCUGCUGGUAAUUCUCUUGUCACUAAUGUCAUCCUGUCAUCCAUCAAAGCCGUGGAGAAUAUGAUGCCACUCUGAGUCCUUCAGUUUGCCACGUGAGCCGAUGAAGCAGAAACAGAUGAUGAUGAUGGAUGAUAUAACUGCGGGGAUGCAGACUUGCUUUCAACGGUCGAAAUGGAGCUACAAAUGAUUAGUCGUAGUCGUGUGUGGUCCUUCCAUCACCUUGUGUUAUUGAUCCCGUUUGUAUGUGUUGCGUUCUCUAUAUCCCUCCAUAGCUUUUCAGUUGUUGUCUCUUUUACGACUAUUUUGAUUCCUCUUUUCCUUUUUAUUAAUAUAACACAAAAAUCCUCUUGCCAUGUUUUUGAAAAAACAAAAUCGUGAGGAUGCUGCUUCAUGAAGCUAGCAACAUGGAUCUCAUAUGGUUCUUCCGAUUGUUGGGAUUGGUGGGAUGGGCAAGACCACCUUUAAUUUGUGCAACUCAUUUAUGACCCUGAUCGUGAUGCAUUUUGAGCUUCAGAGGUGGUGCUGUGUGUCAGAUUCGAAAAUGUUUUUUGACUCUUUCAUCACCGCCUUCAGUAGCUCAUGCCGGUCAGGUCUUCUCCAGUGACCAGUUCCUUCACCUUGGUUGCGCACCCCCUCACCUGGGCUUGCAGCUAGGUCAUAGCCUUGGCAUUCCGCAUCAUCUCAGCCAUGGCAUAGUCUAGUGCUACGUAGGUUGUGUCCGUCCCGGCUUCAAACAUGUCCUUCAUGAACAUAUCCGUAGAACUCCAAUCAAAUUUAACCAAACUAGUCAUGAAACAUGUCAUAUGUACCUCUUGUGAGAAUUAAAUUGGAGGCUUAAAAUCCUUCAAUUAGUAACAGUAAGAAAUUAAUUAAAAUUUGGAGUUUUGUUGCAUACAAGUUGCCAGUCACCAGUACAGAAAUGACCUUUAGUCCUGGUUAGGAAACCUUGGGAAACCUCAAAGAGCUCGGUUUUCCCGACCGGGAUUAAGUAUUCGGGAUUUAGUCCUGUAACACCAUGUGCUUUGCCUUAUAAUGAAAGCCACUAAAAAUUCGAACUUCUAAAAUUUUCCUAUAAACUAAAAUGUGCCUUGCUAUUUCAUACCUCAAAACCCUUUCAAAAUAAAUUUUACAAAACAACCUUCAUCAAAAUUCACCAUAUGCAUUUUAUUGUGCUUGUUUGAGUGUUGUUUGCUUGUGUGCUUUGUUGAAUCUUUUGGUGGCAACCAACCCCUUGACCUCCUUUCCAAAUUUCCCACAAAUCCUUGUUAAACAUCCCUUCGAAUUCCUCAAAUCCAUUCAAACUCCAUUUCAAAUCUCUUCCAAAAUUAUUCAAACCAUUUCCUUGGGUGCAGGCUCAAUUUCCCUCUCCUCUCCUUUCGGCCUGGCGUGGCUUGCUUCUCCUUCUCCCUUUCAGCCCAGCUCGGCCCGCCCCUCCUCGCCUUCUUCUUUCCCGAGCAGGCCACCUCCUCCUCCUCCUUUACUUCCGCACGGCCCGGUCCAGCCCACAACGGCCGCCACCUCUCUCUUCCUCUCCGCACCAGCACCGCCCAUGAGAAUGGCCCGUGACGACCCGGCUCCCACUCCAUGUCAGCAUUGCGUCCGCACACAGCCGCUGAUGAGUAGGUCCCACUCAAUAGCGUCAUCCCCAACCUCGUGUCGUCUUCCCCAAUGCGUCUCGUUGCCGCCGCCUUGUCCCAUCUCCGCCCGUCGCCUAUGCCGUCGUGCCGGCCCCGAAGAAAUAUCUCGCCGCUCCAUCCCAUCAUGGCCCCACCUGUCAUCCCGCACGGUCCUAAAAGAUCUCCGCCGCCCGCUCCACGGACCUCUGUGCACAAUCGACCUCUCGCGGCUAUAAAAGCUGGCGAGCCCCGCCAUCGCUCCCCGCACCUCAAGCUCGAGCUCCCUCCCUCUUCUUCUGCUCGAGCUCGCCUCCUCCCUCUUUAGUCCUCUCCUCCCUCCACCGGAGCACGGCUUCCUCCGAAGCCACGCCUCGCCGAGCCCUGCCCUUCCCUCUUCCUGUCUAGCGCGCCACCGCACAGAACUGCCAGCCAAGCACUAGCGCCGCCACCGUGACAAACUCGAGGAGGACAAAGUGCCGAGCGACGUUGGAUCGGUAACAAGCGGCCCUGAUCUGCCUGAGCUAAUUCGCGUCCCACACCCGAUGACAAGUAGGCCCGAGUCUAACGCCGAAAAUGCCGUCUGUUGGUGACCAGUGGGCACCACAUCAGCAAGCAAGCUCCCAGACAUCACCAUGGCACUGGGAGGGUGCCUCGCAAGCACCACGCGGACACACCCGUAGCAAAUGACACGUCAUCAUGGGUCCACAUGUGAGUUACUGUGUGACACUGUGCGGUCAACAGUCAACACUGACCAGGGACACACCUGGAGUAACUGUGUCGACGGUAAAAUUACUACGCGUACUCAGGUUAGUGUACACGGAAGUCUCGUUUACCCCUUUCCUUGCACAAGCAAGCUCCCAGACAAAUUGUCACUCGCCAUGGCACUGGGAGGGUGCCUCGCAAGCGCCACGCGGACACACCCGUAGCAAAUGACACGUCAUCAUGGGCCCACAUGUGAGUUACUGUGUGACACUGUGCGGUCAAUAGUCAACACUGACCAGGGACACACCUGGAGUAACUGUGUCGACGGUAAAAUUACUACGCGUACUCAGGUUAGUGUACACGGAAGUCUCGUUUACCCCUUUCCUUGCACAGAAAAAUUUCCAAAAAAUUCCUAAAAAUACUAGAGCCACCCUAUAACCCAUCCAAACCUUUUGCACCCCAUUUCCAUCAUACAAAAUUAUGGGAAAAUAAAUUUCACCACUCAGGCACUCAUAAAUUCCAAUAAAUCACAUAAAUUCCCGAUAAAUUCCCAAAAAUCAUCUCUCCUGUCAAACUCCGUUUCUGUCAAUUCUUCCACCAAAAUUCUUCUAAAAUUAAAUCCUUGAUAUCCCUUCCGGUGCCACCAUUAGUUUCUUUGUUUGAUUCUUGAUUUGUUCAUGUAUUGCUCUUCGACCUGUUAGUCACUAACAUCACACAAACCCCUUAUGCUCAUGCAUGCAUAUACACUGUAGCAUGUAUACAACUAUAUGAGUAUACAUACACCCCCCUUCACACACCUACCACCGAUACUUUUUUUAUUUUUGUUUUUGCAAAAAAAAAAUCAAAACUAUUUAGUCCCAGUUGGUAAUACCAACAGGGACUAAAAGGGGCGGGAGGUAGCCACUGGCGCCGUGAUCGUUUUCUUCCGGUUGGUAUUACCAACUGGGACUAAAAGGGGAUAUUAUAUCCCGGUUUUGGGACCCGUGAUAAAAGACCCCCCUAUCUCGACAAGUUAAUCCUAGAUGCAUUUUCGGAAGAUAUGCACCCUACAAACCGGUACUAAUACCGAAUUUUCUAAUAGUGAAUGGUGCCGGUAGGCGUCCCCUUCAGCUGCAUUCUCUUCCAACCUGCAUACAAAGAGUCACUGGAGAUAGCGUGAUACAACCUCGGUUAGUCAGGCGAUCAAAUGAUAUAACCUCGAGUUAAUCUAGGCCGAAGCCAAUUAGCUUCCGUGUUUCUAUCUGAAGCUGGCAGAGUUAGCGCCUUGUCUGGGCGAGCUAAGACCCGGGUUAUAGGCGAAGGGGAUGAGUUUUGGACAGAUCCCCAACAUCUCGAAAAAUUAAUCUCGGUUGGGCAUUGGAGAGUUAUGCUCCUUCCCAACCGGGACUAAUAGUCAGUUUUCUACUACUGGUUGUGUAGAGGUGAGGAGGCGAGGGUUUUAGGUGAGGACGAUGAGGUGGCACCGCUCCCUUUCUCCGAUUCAACUGUCUCUAUAAAAUUGAUAUGGUUAGAUAUGUCAUAUUCUGUGGUACCACCUCGCGAUCACGAUGUGUGUGCCUCUAUAUAUGUUGUGCCAUUGCAGUCCAUUCGAUCGAGGGAGUACCAUAGCGUGACUGAACUACUGAAAAUGAAAAGCCUACACUUCUGCAACAACACAGUCUACCCCUAUGUUUACAACCUGACUUCCUCCUACAUCGACCAGAACAAUGAGGCCACCAUGGUGACCACCACCUUGGUCAUGUUUAUGCUGGCCGUGUUCGUCUUCAACCUCAACCUCUUCAGCCGCUUCUUGGACGUGAGCGCGAUUCUCAACCCUAGCGUCCGCCUCUUCCUCUCCACCUCCCUGUCCCUCUUCCUGCCGGUCAUGUCCUACCUCUUCUCCGAGGCCAAGAACCAAGGUGCAACGACGACCAUGGCUGCUAGUACUAGUAGCUCCAGUUAUGGCGAGCUCGGUGACGAGCUGUCACUUCGAGCUAGGACGAUCCUCAUGUGGAUGCUUCUUGUGGAGCUCCUACGCAAGAAGGUGGAGGCCGUCCUGGUCAACGUGGGCAUGCAGUGGUACUCAGGCGCCAUCGAUCGCUUCGCCCGCAUUGUUUGGCUCUGCUAGCUCGUCUUCUACAAUGUCAAAAGCCCCGGCAAGAAGGCGAUCUACGGCACCUUAUGGGUCCUCACUGCUGCCAAGUUCCUGCAAAGGGUCGUCGUCAAGAUGGUGCUGGAGCGUUCCUUCGCCUACGGAAGGAACACCCAGCUGCUCAACUCAUACAUGGCCCAGAUCAUCCAACAACAAGAGCAAGAGGAGCACUUGGGGUCAUCGUAGGCGGAGCUGUUGAAGAAGUGCGAGUACACCGUGAUGGGAGAAGACAACCUGGAGAGGACGGCUGGCCGGCAUGCAUGGCUACCAGGUCGAGCUGAACAAGGCAGCCGUUGUCACCGUUGGUGACAUUUGGACGCAGGCAGCAGCCGAGCCGGACAGCCUCCUCCGGAGAGAACACCUCAGAAGGCUCUGCCUCUCCUUUGUUCUCUACAAGCUGCUGCGCCGGAGGUUCGAGGACAUCCCCACAACAAGGGAGGAGACCCGGAACUGCCGGAACCUCAUCUUCAAGGGCAUGUUGAAGGAGGAGGCGGAGCAAGGUGCCGAGGUCGCACUGUUCCAGUCUUCAACGAUGAGACCCAGUUCGUUUGCGAGUACUACCAUUCCGUCCUACCCGUCGUCUUGUCCGACCCUUUCUUCUUCAUAGCCAACUACAUCUUGUUUCCCAUUGUAGUUUGUGCCUUCUGCCUCCUAACAUUGAUCAUCUGCGGCAAUGGGAGCGUCCACUACGCCUACCAGAGCAUCAAAAGUGACAACUACAUCAUAUACACUGGCGCGACGACGCUGACCAGAUGCCUCCUGAGAAACAUCGCCCAUUCACCCGAGGUGCUAGCUGUUCGCCAGCAUCGACCUAGGCACCACCACUCUGCUCAUCCUGGCCUUCGUCUACGAGGAAGUCGUGGAGGUCCUCGUCUUUAUCCUCUCCAAUUGGCUCAUCGUGUCGCUCAUCUGUCAGUACACCGCCAAGCUCCACUGGCGGCAGAGCCGCAUCCUGUGUCGGCUCAUCCGCGGCAUCCUGUGGGUGCGAAGCAUGCUAUAAGCCACCCUAACCUCUGCUUCAAGCAGCUCUCCGUGCUAGGGUUCUUCCAACUGUCGUCGCCUUCGCCGUUCAUGGUGCCAACCAAGGCAGUGCCCAAGGAGGUAAUUAAAGAUUCUUCAUCGGUAAUGUCGCGCGGUUCUUGGUUUCAAGUACUGCCUGUAUUUUUUUUAUUUUUUUUUUGCCUUGUCAUUUGGUCCGUCAGAACUAAGUUUGUCGAAUUCCUUCUGAAUAAGCUUGAGACGCUGGUCGUGCUUGUUUGUUGGUGUGCCUACGUGCCGCGUAGUUGUCGUAGCAAAUACUUUCGGUUCCAUAUCGCCUGUGACAUUCAGCAUGUUGUCUUUUUUUUUUUGAAGCGCAUUCAGCAUGUUUCGCAGAUGUUUGGAAGGAUGAUCCAAAUUCUGAAUGCACAGACCAUGUUGGGAAAUUGAUUUCCCCACUGCGUGUCUGUGUUUACAUGCAUCUUCUUACUGUGGUUCCAAUGGCCCGUCUAGGCCCAUACAGGCCUAUCAGGUGGAUGGGCCGGCCGGCCUCCUGGAUCAACAAGGCCGGUAUCCCUUCUUGCCCGUCCGCCCCCGCUGUAGAAACAAAACCAGAACCAGCAGAUCCCCCGGGCCCUGAAGAGAAAGACGAUGGCAACAGAAGAAAGAGCUCGCGACGAAGCCGGCGAAAGCCCCCCAAACCCUCCCCAGCCCAGGCAGCGGCGGCGCGACGAGAUGGCCGACGACCCCACCGCCGGCGGCGGGAACACCGUCGAGGACGUCGUCCGCGCGGAGGUGAGCAUCCCCGGCCGGCCCUCGUCCUCUUUGCUGCGAGUGCCGGGGAAUCCGAUCUCCGCCCGUGCCGACCUGGCUCUGCUCGGCUGCCCCCGAUCUGCCCGCGCAGGUGGCGGCGCCUCGCCCCCAGUUCGGUUUCGGGUUAGAGGUGUCCCAUCGUGGUGUCUGGGCGGGGGGAAUCCGGCGACGAGGCGUUCUCCCUCCCGUUGGCUCGGUUGGCGCGGACGGACGCGGUGGGCCUGGUUGGGGAAUCUGUGCCCGUUUCGAUUUGGGUGUAGAAUAGGUAUACGUCUGCAAAAUUGAUAGAAUUAGGCCCGUUUAUAUCGGUCCUGGUACUUGGGCCAUGACGCUUUGGAUCGCCCACAAAAAUCCACAAACGCAGGCAGGGCCGGUCAUCCCGGAUAAAUCCAAAAUGAUUUUUACCGGUUACCGACCCCGGCGGUUUCGAUUUUUACCGAAAACCGGUCGGUAACCGGUAAAAACUGGACGAAUUCAAAAGACGAAUUGCCAGCGCAACUGGUAAAAACCGCUCGGUAACCCGCCCGAAUUCAAACCGCUUGGUAACGGUAAAAACCGCAUAGUAAACUGCCUGAAUUCAAAAUUUGAAAAUUUUGAAUUCGAGCGGUUUACUGUGCAGCUGAACCGGUGCUGGACCGGAGCGGUUGUUUUCGUCGGUUUUGUAAAUCCUAUUUGUGAUUCGGUGGGAGCAUUGCGCUAAAGACUCGGGCAUAAAGAUAGAUAAAAGCAACAAAAGAAACGGUUUCCCAGCUAAAGGUGGUGGGCCAAGUGACAGCUAGCAGUGGAGAGGGGGGCAUUCCAGCGGCCUGCAAGGCGGUUUCCCAGCUGGCCCGUCCUCAUUUACUAAUCCCCACCAAGCUUAGGGGGUGUUUGGAUCCCGGACUAAAUUUUAAUCCCUGUCACAUCGAAUGUUUGACACUAAUUAGGAGUAUUAAACAUAGGCUAAUUACAAAACCAAUUUCACAACCCCUAGGCUAAAUCACGAGACGAAUCUAUUAAGCCUAAUUAGUCCAUGAUUUGACACUAUGGUGCUACAGUAAACAUUCGCUAAUGAUGGAUUAAUUAGGCUUAAUAGAUUCGUCUCGCGAUUUAGCCUAGGGGUUCUGCAAUUAGUUUUGUAAUUAGCUCAUGUUUAGUCCUCCUAAUUAGCAUCCGAACAUCCGAUGUGACACAGACUAAACUUUAGCUCCAGGAUCCAAACACCCCCUUAGCAUCUUUCCUUUCGAUGAAAUAAAAAAAUUGUUAAUCUCAACUGCUCCUCGAUUACCGCAUAGAUUAACACCUCUUUAGCCUUUGUGGCACGGCACCUAAGGCUCCGUUUUCUUCCAUUGACUUAUUUUUAGCACCCGUCACAUCAAAUAUUUAGAUACUAAUUAGGAGUAUUAAACGUAGACUAUUUACAAAACCCAUUACAUAAGACGAAUCUAAACGGCGAGACGAAUCUAUUAAGCCUAAUUAGUCCAUGAUUUGACAAUGUGUUGCUACAGUACCAUAGUGUCGUAUCGAUGGCAUUAAUGAGCCUUAAUUAGGCUUAAUAGAUUCGUCUCGCCGUUUAGAUUCCACUUAUGUAAUUGGUUUUGUAAAUAGUCUACGUUUACUACUCCUAAUUAGUAUCUAAACAUUCGAUGUGACACGUGCUAAAAAUAAGACACGGGAAGAAAACGCCCCCUAAUACUUUCCUCACCUUUGCAGUGCCGUGGGCCCGCCACUUCCCUUCUGGCCCACAAGUCAUGGAGGCGCGCGAGGAGGGGUAUCGGUUUCACGAUGAUUAAUAAAGAAAGACACCGGCACACCGCACCGCAUGCACCUCCACCACUUGCGUUGCCUUUGCCUUUGCUUUUCCCCGAGCUCGCCCGCCUAGGAGCUCCAGCAGCCGGUCCGCUCCGCCACCGGUGCGGCAACCACGCCGCCGUCAGAUCGCCUCGCGCGGCCACCGGUCGUCCCCGCGAUACACCGCCGCCGGUGCGCCGUGCGCGGCGGCGCUGUCCCGCCGCUCCUCCGCCUACCGUCGGCCUGCGCCACCACCAGCGCACCGGCAGCACCGCGAGCUGCCGCGACGCCCCGACGUUGGUCCUUCCUGAGCCCGGUGUCGUCACCAGCGUAGCGGAGAAGCUAAUUACCUGAAGCAAUUUGUAGAAACGAAUAGUACUGGUUCGUUCACUUAUUUCUUUGCUCAAACUUAAUUUCUGCUUAGAGUUUGUGCCUAAAUUAGCUGCUUAUUCUGCUGGUUGCACGCAGGAGAUCGAGCUACGGGCGUACGGCCGGAUCGGAGGAGGACAUAUCAGCCGGGUUCCUGUUGGUUGUGUACUUGUGUUCCUGCCGACGGAGAAGCAACCAUGGCCGAGUUACUGAUCGGGCCACUGAUCUCCAUGGUGAAGGAGAAGGCAUCCAGCUACCUGCUGGACCAAUACAAGGUGAUGGAAGGCAUGGAGGAGCAGCGCAAGACCCUGGAGCGCAAGCUGCCAGCAAUCCUGCACAUCAUCCAGGAUGCGGAGGAGAAAGGAGCCUCCCGACCUGAAGUUGCAGUUUGGCUUAAAGACCUCAAGACAGCGGCCUAUGAGGCCAACGACGUCUUUGAUGAGUUCAAGUACGAGGCGCUUCGGCGAGAAGCCAAGAAGAAGGGCCACCACAGCAAGCUUGGAAAUGAGGUAGCAAGACUCCUAGUCCCCGCUCGUAAUCCCAUUGUAUUCCGUUACAGGAUGGGCAAGAAGCUACGCAGGAUUGUGCAGACCAUCGAGGCCUUGGUCACCGAGAUGAAUACAUUUGGUUUCAGGCACUUGCAGCAAGCACAGCCAUCAAGGCAGUGGCGACAGACAGAUUCCAUAAUCAUUGACUCCGACAGAGAUAUUCUUAGCAGAUCUAGAGAUCGGGAGAAGAAGAAAAUCGUGGGGAUGCUCCUUGAUCAAGCUAGCAACAGGGAUCUCAUGGUUCUUCCAAUUGUUGGGAUGGGUGGGAUGGGCAAGACCACCUUUGUGCAACUCAUUUACAAUGACCCUGCAAUCGAGAAGCACUUUGAGUUUCGGAGGUGGUACUGCGUGUCAGAUGAUUUCGAUGUCAGUACCAUUGCAAGCAACAUCUGCCAGACCAAUGAGAAAUAUCGUGAAAAAUCAUUGCAGGAGCUCCAUAGUACAAUAAGUGGAAAAAGGUACCUCAUUGUGUUAGAUGAUGUAUGGAAUCGGGAUGCUGAUAAGUGGGGAAAACUAAAGACCUGCCUUAAGCAGGGUGGCAAGGGCAGUGCAGUACUAACAACAACUCGUGAUGCAGAAGUGGCUCGCAUUAUGACCAUGGGUGUAGCUAAAGCCCAUAAUAUCGAGAAUCUGAGCGAUGAGCAUUUAAAGGAAAUUGUCCAGAGCAGAGCAUUCAGCUUGCAAAAUCCAAAUAUGGAAGAGCAAGAUGGCAUUCUCAGUGGAUUUGUUCGUCGAUGCGUUGGAUCUCCCUUGGCUGCCAAAGCCUUUGGCUCUAUGUUGAGUAACAGGACUAGUAUAAAUGAAUGGAAGGAUAUAUUAGCUAAAAGUAACAUUUGUAGUGAGAAAACCGGAAUUUUACCGAUCCUCAAGCUCAGUUUUGAUGACCUAUCCUCAGAUAUGAAGCAGUGCUUUGCAUUUUGUGCUUUAUUUCCUAAAGAUUAUGAGAUCGAUGUGGACCUCUUGAUUCGACUGUGGAUGGCACAUGAUUUCAUACCUGUGCAGGAGGAUGACAAUCUAGAAACCGUAGGAAAAUAUAUUUUUGAGGAGCUAACUCGAAGGUCAUUCUUUCAAGAUGUCAAGCAAACACUUCCAAUAAUUGUCAAGCAAACACUUCCACUUCCAUAUCGCUCUGUUGGAAUUCUUCGUAAGUCAACCAUAUGCAAGAUACAUGAUCUCAUGCAUGACAUUGCUCUAUCUGUUCUGGGGAAAGAAUGUGUCACUAUAGUUGGUAAGCCGAGCAUCAACAAGCUGUUGCUAAAUCCGACCCGCCACGUCUUCUUAUCAAUAUAUACUACUUUCUGGAAAGAACAGGUUACAAGUCUACUGGAUCAUCUAUUGAAGAAACAAACUGCAAUGCUCCAUACGUUGUUUAUCAAAGAUUAUGGUCAACCCCUUGAUAUAUCAAAGUACACUUCACUGCGAGCAUUACACCUUCCAGCAUAUGAGUAUCUAAGUUUUGGACAGGAACAGCUUACAAGACACAUACAACACCUAAGGUAUCUUAAUCUGUCGUCACAUGAGUUCGAGAAACUUCCUGAAGGUAUAAGCAUGAUGUAUAAUCUACAAUCGUUGGAC